AAAAAGUUUUAUUCUAACUUAAAAAUUAGGUUAAAUUUAAAUUUACAUGUAAAUUUUAGUGAAAAAAUAAAUUAAUUUUAAUAAUUAAUUUAAUAUUUAUAUUUUAUUCGCAGUAAAUAUUUUUAAAAAUUAAAGUAAUUUAGAUUUAGAUAUAAUUUUUAUUAUAAACAAAGUUUGUGCCAGCAGUUGCGGUUAUACAAAUUAUAAAAAUUAAUUUUAUUAGUUUUAAUAAAUUUUUAAAAAUAAUUUUAAAUUAAAAUUUAUUAGGUGAAAUUUUAAAUUUUAAUAAAAAAUUUAUUUAUUUAGUGAUUUUAAGAAAUUUAAAUUUUAAACUAGGAUUAGAUACCCUAUUAUUUUAAACGUUAAAUUAAAAUGCUAAAUUAGUAUUAGUUAUGUUCUUGAAAAUUAAAGAUUUUGGCGGUAUUUUAGUCUAUUCAGAGGAACCUGUUCUAUAAUUGAUAAUCCACGAUUUAAUUUACUUUUUUUAUUAAUUUAUAUAUCAUCGUAGUUUGAAUAUUUUAAAAGAAUAUAAAUAUUCAUAAUAUUUUUUAAAUAAAAAAUCAGAUCAAGGUAUAGUUUAUAAAAAAGAAGAAAUGGGUUACAAUAAAUUUAUUUAAGGAUAUUUUUUUUUAAAAAAGAUUGAAUUUGGAUUUGAAAGUAAUUUAAUUAAAAUUAUUUAAAUGAUUUAAGCUCUAAAAUAUGUACAUAUUGCCCGUCGCUUUCACUUUAAGGUGGAAUAAGUCGUAACAAAGUAGGCUUACUGGAAAGUGAGCCUAGAAAGAA
rnacentral:ncRNA from 1 species